GAAAUUGAAAGAGUAUUGGGAACUAAAGAGGGUAUCGAGAAUAAUUUUGUAAAGAAUUUGAGAUUUAUAUAAAGGAAUUAGGAGUGAGGUGGGGUACUUAUAAAGUUUUUUUUAUUUAUUUAAACCGCCAGUUUGGUCCGAUUCAGAACCAUUGGUUCAAUUAGGUUCAAAACUGUCAGUUCAUGGUUUUUAAAAAAUAUGAACCUGA
rnacentral:misc_RNA from 1 species